GACGAACGCUGGCGGCGUGCCUAACACAUGCCAGUCGAGCGAACAGACCAGGCUCUUGCUCGUCUGACGUUAGCGGCGGACGGGUGAGUAACAUGUGUAUAACCUACCUGAAAGACUGGGAUAAUUUCGGGAAACCGGGUCUUAUACCGGAUGAUCUAUUGAACCACAUUGUGCAAUAGUAAGAUUCGGUUUUGCUGUCGGUAAUCGCUGGAUACGCGCCGGAUUAGCUAGUUGGUACGGUAACGGCUUACCAAGGCAAGGAUGCGUAGCCGACCUGAGAGGGUGAUAGGCCACACGGGAAGUGAGACACGGUCCAGACGCCUGCGAGAGGGCGCAGUAUGGAAUCUUACGCAAUGGGCGAGAGCCUGACGGAGCAACGCGGCGCGAAUGAUGAAGGUCCUGGGAGCGUAAAACUCUGUUAUUAGGGAAGAACAAAUGUGGAAUUAACUAUGCACGUAUUGACGGUACCUAGUCAGAAAGCCACGGCUAACUACGUG
rnacentral:rRNA from 1 species